UUGCGUCUCCGUUAAGAACCACCACGUCUCGACUGCCCAGUUUGAUCUGAAACACGUCGCCGUACUUCUGAGCCAUCCGACUGAAGUAAAAGUGAGGAAAACUGUAAAGUGUGGACUUGUGGUCUCCCUGUGAACAGACUCCCGACCCCCAGGCAUCCUUGUUACAUCAAAGAGCCAGACCAUGCUGAGACAGGCCCUGACACACACAUGCAACACUUUGCUGUGGUCCAGGUGUUUCCAGAGUCACACUGAAGGCAUCAAGGGCUAUUUGACCAAGAA